ensembl:lncRNA
CCCCGAAUUAAGAACCCAAAUAGCGGUGCGUUGUGUGCCGCCUUGUCCCCUCGAUCCUACAGGACGUUGGGAUGUCUCUGCGGUUUGAGGAGCUCAGCCCGCGUCCCGCAGUGAGAGAAGGAUCCGCGCUCAUUGAUAACGUGAUAACCAGCGCUGCAUCCCCCCCUGCACUGAACGCUUCGUGCUUAUGUUUCUGUCACACUUGGUGGUGUUUUAAUCCCUGCAUCGUAGCGAGCGCUCGGCUCUCACUCGCACUGCCGGCAAGCAGACGGGCUGCGAACUUUCCUCCCUUUCUUGUUCCUUCUUUCCUUUCUAAAUGAAACACGCGGGCUUUGGGACACGGGGCAGCCCUGGAGGACUUUGGGACACGGGGAUACGGGGAUGCGCGGUUGUGCCCGCACCGGGCACCGCUGCACGCUUUUUGCGCGCUCUUUGCGCGCUCCCCGCGUGCCCCUGCCACCCGAUCGGCUCCGUCCGGGGGGACGCUUCGCAAAUAGCGAAGAUCUAUGGCAAGCGGUAACACUGCCUCGCGGGUUUUACGAGCCUGAAACGCCCUUCAAGUGCCAACUCCCUCCCGCUCCAGUCAUUGCUCCACUGAAAAUACGAAAAUACCUCGCUUCUUCCCCUUCCCUCUCCUUCUCCCUUUCUGCCCAAAUCGAACAGAACCCAAACUACUUUUAGGGCUUCAGACACCGGGGCUGCUCCCGGAGAGGUGCCGGGGCUGUGCACGACCGCACCCCCGCUCCUUCGAGGCUCGAGAGCGGAGCUGAAAGGAAAGCACUAUUUCAAGUGGCCCAAAUUAAUUUGAUCGCGACAUUAUGAUGCACUUGAAAAAGAUGAAAGAAAAGGCUACCCGUCUCCUCCAAGAUCUCUAUAAUUAUAGAUAAUAUAUCCUAUUUCAAAGCAAUUAGCUCAAUCAGGCGUAACGAGGCACUUUGCUGCCAGGGAGUAACAAUGCCUUACGGUUAUUUAAGCUUCAAGAUGUCAAGCAGACUUCGAGACUCUCUGCUUUGCCCGAGAGGGAACUUGGCUGCCUUGGUGCUAGCCCCAUGGCGAAGGCAGCGGUUCCUCUUUAGUGACAACACGCCUGUUUGACUUCAGCGUUAUUUUUAAAGCUCCUGCAGAUGUACCAGAGAAGCGUCUCUUUUCCAGGGGCAUUUGGGGCCGGCAUUUGCGUACCAUCCCUUCUGCCUUUCCUCGGUGCCUUCCCCCCCCCUCAUUUCAUGUGUUCUGUAGGGGAUUCCAACUGCUUCUCAGCGAGAGUGGAGGAAAAAGUGUUCAUGGGAUGAGAUCCCACGGCCUCCUGGUCCCAGCCGGCCCCUUCCUACCCCAAAGCUUUACUCCGAGCUCUCCUCGGUUUUGUUGUUUUGUUUUGUUUUGUUUUUGCCUUUCACUAUUAAUUAUUAUUGUUGUUGUUAUUAUUAUUAUUUUGACCUUGAAUGGUCACAGAUGCCAAAGGUCCCAAAGCAAAGUGAGCAUCCCGCUGCUGCAUCCAGCAGUGAGCCAUUGGGCCACAGAUGUGUAUGCCCGGGUGUGGAGUGGGGUCUGCCUGGCACCCAGGUGGGGAGCAGAGGCUGAAAUGCUGAAACCCCCUCGUCUUCACUGAAAGCUUCAGGAGGGGUGUGUGGAGUGGGUUGGCCCCACUGUUUCCAGGGGACCCAAAUGCCAAAGAAAAAAGAAAAAAAGGAAGGAAAAAGGAAGGAAGGAAGAAAAAAAGGAAUGAAGGAAGGAAGAAAAGAAAGGAAGGAAGGAAAAAGAAGACGUUUUUCCUCUUUCUCGUUGCUACUGCAAAGAGACGCUCUGGACGACCCGCACGGCACAGCUUAGCACGGCACAGCACGUCAAGGCAUGGCAUGGCAUGGCACGGCACGGCACGGCACGGCACGGCAGGGCACGGCACGGCAGGGCACGGCACGGCAGGGCACGGCACAGCACUGCACAGCCCCCGCCUGGCCCCGGCCCUGAGAGGCCGUGCGAGCAGUCCCAGCCCCUGCGAGGCGUUCUCGGAUGAAACGGUGCUGGAAGGAAAAAUGAGCAAGGGUACAAUUAACCUGUCAGCUCCCCUUGCAGGGAUUUUUUAUUGCUGGGGGGUAAGGGAGGGAAAAAUAUUAUAUAUAAAUAUACAUAAAAAAAAAGAAAAU